UAUAUCUGCUUGAUGUCACACUUACUUAUCUAUUGAAUGCAGAACUAAAGCCUAAUAGAGGUACAUCAACUACUCUUUAUAAGAAUUGUAUAUCUGCUUGAUGUCACACUAUCUUAUCUAUGAAAUGCAGCACUAAAGCCUAUUAGAGGAACAUCAACUACUCCUUAUAAGAAUUGUAUAUCUGCUUGAUGUCACACUAUCUUAUCUAUUGAAUGCAGAACUAAAGCCUUUUAGAGGUACAUCAAC
rnacentral:lncRNA from 1 species